UUGACUGAAUUCACAAGUGAGUACCUUGCUAUUGCAGACAAAACUUAAGCAUGUUCUUUGGAAUGCUUAGAAGUGUGGUAGAAACUAUUUCUGUUUGGUUGGUUUUUCAACCUCCUGCUUGAUAAUUUUGCUGGAAUCAUUCCCUAUUACUCAUUUUAUUGACUUCAGCUGUAUCCCUUUAGUCAUAUCAUUUUCAGGCUAAAGAAUCCUGGUCUUUUUUAUUUCUUUCUGUAUGGAAUCCAUCCUUGCCUCUGCUGUUGUUGACAAGUUUGGCCAUCUACAUAAUUGUCCUCUUUUCCAGAUCAUUUAUGAAUAGGCAAAAAGCAAAGAUCCCUGCAGUGAUCCUUGUGGAAUCUUCCUUUUUGAAACAAAUGAACAUGUCUUUCUGUAUUUUAUUUUCUAUAUUUAAUACAUUGUCAUUUCUUGGGCAUAUCUUGUUUCCUACUUGUAAUAGCUUGUAUUUGUGUUCAAUGAGGAACACGGCUGAAAGCUUUUCUGAAAGUUCAACUAUAUGAUGUCAGAUAGCUCAUUCUUAUCCACAGGUACUAGAUGAUUUCUUCAGAUAAUUCUAGGAGCUUUACGAGCUAUAACUUCCAGCUACAAAAGCCAUGUUGAUUCUUUCUCAGGAUGUCACAUUGAUCCAAGUGAUCAUUAAUUUGUUUCUUCAUCGUUCUGGAAACCAAUUUCAGUGGUCUGAAGUUUGACUUUUGAGUAUGCAGUUUUCAGGAUUGCCCUUGAAGCACCUUUAAAGAUUGAUGUCACAUUUGUCACUUUCUGUUCCUCUAAAAGGUAAGCUAAAUACAUCUGCUUCAUCAGCAGUCACACGUUUGGAUUGUAGUAUAGACAUAGUCUAAAUAGCAGUCGAUGUAGCAACUAGAUACCCAUUGGUGUGGGUAAGAAGACUGAAUUGAUGCCAUCUGUGAAAUGCUAAGAAAUGACUAAGUACAUAUCUACAGACAAAAAGGUGUAACGUGUUUAUGAAGGCUCCAGGCAAGAACUGGCUCUAUUUAUGUAGCUGUACUGAGCUGACUGAGUUUUGCAUAGGAAAUAAUAACUGAACUACUUGUCAACAGUCUAAGCUGCACAUAACAGCAGCUGAGCUCAAGCCUGUCAGCAGGCAGGUGGAAAAAGUGGGCUGCAACCACAUCUGGCAGAGAUGCCCCCCAAUUAUGCUGUUAUGGAAAUGAUUUAUUAAUUACAAGGGAAAUUCUGCCUGUAGAUAUACCUCUGAGUUUAUUAGGCUGAUGAAGUUAAACUUCUUGAAGUCAUAGCAGAACCAAAAAAACCCCUCGCGGAACCGUUGCUGUUGUUGACAACAAAACACAAUUUAGCAAUUCUCCAUCAGCGAAGCAAAAAAUUUUCUCUGUCAGAGUGAUUUGCAAAAGUAUAUGGUGUCGUAUUAAUGAAAAAAACAUAUGGCUAUGAAGGAUGGCUCUGGAAUUGUGCUUUUGGAAGCACAGAACUUCAAGUGGCCAGUUCGGUUCUCAGAUUCUUGCGCUAUCCUCCACGGUCACACAUUGCCUCUCCAGACUUAGGCUAUGGUUGGCUGAGGAAGAAACUUCCUCAGCAACAUGGGGAAAACCAUGUGCUAUUUCCUUUCAGGAGCAUAUAUAUUGCAUAGUUGGGGUCAGAAGAAGGGGUUCUUUUCUGAUAACUCUCUUAGGGCCAAAUACAUGACAUGGGGGACAUAAGCUAAGAUAAACAUGAGGGCAAACUGCCCUCUAGGUUGCACUCUGUAGUUUGGAGGAAAAAAAAAAAGUUUUCAGCCACAGACUGAUUUGGUUUAACAAUGAGAGCAUUAGAAUUCCAAGAGUUCUGUUGUAUAUAUUUUGGGCAAAGAGAUAUAUUUUUAAAUUUAGGUACCUAACAAAAAUGGGCAUUAUCUGUAUUUCUCAGAUCUCUUGCCUGGAAAGAGUUGUACUUUAUUGUUUUAGACCCUGUUCUUGCUGUUCUAUCUUUUUUCUUAAUUCAAAGUGCUCCAAGGGUUUUCUUUCCCUCUCCCUUCUCUCUGUAGUUUUUGAUGUUCUCUAGAGAAUAUAGGUGGGUGAAUAAUAUCAAAUUUUAUCUCUGCAUCACCCCAGCUCAGCAUGAUCCCACAGAAGAAAAUGGAAAGAAUAAUUGACACUGGUCAAGACACUAAAGGCUGAACUUGAUCCAUAAUUAAACAAUACUUUCACGUGGCUGAGCAAAGAGCAGACAGCUAUCACUGCUCUCUGAUGUUCUUUUAGAAGGCUCAUCUCCAUUUGAAAGCUUCACUUUGGAAGGAUUUUUCCCUGCUAGUGUUUUUAGCAAAAUUUUAGAUUAUGCUCUAGAUAUCCACAUUAUUUUUUCUUUUUUUAUAUACUCUGCUACUUUUUCAUCUGUUGAUACCUAAUAUUAUGGCAUAAAUGCAAGAAUGUACAGAACUAACAAAAAAAAAUACUGGCACAAACAAUCCAAGAACUGAUCAUCCUUUGCCUCUCCUACUAGGAAGCAAGGAGAAGGAACUGUCCUUAGGGAUUUGCAUUUCCUCACUUAUUUGGGGUGGUGUGGAAAAGAACGAGCACAGAUUGGUGUGCUCUGGCAGAGAAGGUGUUACCCAGAAACAAGAUGCUCUUUGAGCAUCCUUGGGACACUGGCAAGGCUCCUUUAGGAUGGAGUGAUACAGUGUAGCAUAUCAGAACAAAACAACAAAAAUCACAGGCAAAAACAAAACCUGAGAAGUGUACGUGUCUGCUUCUACUGUGCAUGAUCAGCAAGAUAUCCUUGACUACAUGAACAGAUAUCCUACUGUCUCCUUGUGUGUAAAAUCAGUUUGAGCACUACAGUUAGUCCAAAGUUUCAUUCUUCCAUUUUAGAUGCGACUCUGAAAUCGCAAGGCUCAUGACAGUGCCAAAGGGUCUCUCUCUUACUACAGGUGUUCUCAGUACCCACCUUAGCAGUGAGGUUCCCAAUAUAGAGGUGACUCAGAAAUGCUGCUUCCUGUUUUUUUACUUAAGCUCCAUCUAACCAAGGCCUACCUAACUAAAUGAGACCAGGCAUAGUCUAGAAACGGUGUCAGCUCCCCCUGUGUUAGACAGAAAUCAAAUAAUGGCUUUUUCUAGGGCAUUUGGUUGCAAAGAUGUAGGAGCGCUUCAGUGCUGAUGCUCUUGCACCAAUUCUAGCCUUUUAUGGACAGAAAUAUGUUGCAAAGCAUCCACUUCUCACCAGGACUCCCUGCUGAAAGGUCUAGCUUCAGCACUCAUCGGGGCCCUGAGCUUUUCCCAAACCCUUCCAGUCCAUCAUAUGUCCACUUGCACAACAUCCAUGCAGCUCCCUGCCUACAUCACCCUUCUUGCGGAGCAUCUGGCUGUGAGUGGGGAUGUGUAGCAGCUGGAGAAAGAUUAAAUCACAUAACUAGUCUCGCUUGCUUGGGGUUUAUAAAGAGCUCUUCCACUCGGGUGUCUUCUGCCUGCUAAUCCUGGCGGUACAGGCCACCUGUCAAUUUGUUAACAUGUAUUAUUCAAGAAGCCCUAUUUCACAGCAAUGAGAAUUUUUGCCCAUGUAAAUCUAAGUAAUCCUUCUUAUUUUGUCCAUAAAUAACCCUUUACUAAUCACUUACAAAAUAGGCCUAGGCUGUGCUAUUGUAUACCAGAUAACUACUGUCUAGCAUCAUCUUUGCCAUAUGAAUUUCAGUUAUGUUCCUACACACUGUAUUGAUAAAAUUGAUUGUAGGGAAAUGGUGCAAUAAUUUAUUAAAAAGAUACAGAAUAGUAAUUCUGUUAGUUACGAUUUUUCAUUGCAGGUAUUCCUAAAUGCUUCUGGACACAUAUACCCACACUCCAUUACAGUGGGGGAAAAAAUUAAGCAGGAAAAGCCCUGGGCUGAAAAAAUACUUAACUUUCUUGAUGAUUUCCAUAAUAUUCUGUUCUCUUGGUGUAUUAGCAUAUUGUCAUUCCUGCUUUUCUUUUUGUUCUUUAAAAAAGUCUAUUUGCAUAAUUAUGUUGAGUACAAUCUCUCUUUCAGGUUGUUCCUGGAUGCCAUGUAUUUAGCAUUGCAUAUUACUAAAGAGGAUAAGCUUCACUGUAUUCACGAUUUCCUGGACCUGGAAGAAACGGCACUGGUGGUGUUUACUGUGCUGUUACUGCUGUGCUUAUGAAAAAAACAGCCUUUGGGUAAAUAAAAAAAAAUGGAUGUUUUAGUAAUACUGCACAAAAUCUGGAAUUGUCCUAUUUAACUUGAGAAAAAUUGCAUGGGAUACGUAUGAAUAUAAAAUCUUAUUUGUUCAUAGAAGGAAAACUGAAUAAUUUUCCAAACCCAAAUUCUGUUAUGUGUUCUUCAUCCCAGAUGUAAAACACAGGUGUGUAUCCAUACCUAAGUAAAGGUCUUUUUUGAUUCUUUUCAUGUUUUCUACAAUACAGAAAUUUUGGUUUCUGGGAUUCUGUUUACCUUUCUGGAGAAGACGGGGUAAAAAAGAGUAUUAUAAAUGCAACUACUCAGAGCUGAUCAGAAUUUAAGCAUGAAAGCAAAGCAAUAAGAGGCAAAUAGAUAAUUACAGCGAGACAGAAAUGAAGAGACUUACAGGAAUCCCGUGUCUGUGUACUGAGAUAGUAUUACUUUGAAGGUCCAGUGAGUAUUUUCUGAUAAUCGUUAAUCCAUAAGUAGCUUUGGCUAUAAUAAAAUGUAUCUGAUACUGUUGUAAAUACUUUACCUGUAUUGUGAGAGUAAUUAAUUAUUGUGCUAGUUAUAAGAUAUCAAAGAAAAAAGCUGUGAAGAUUGCUGUCAUUGCAGGAAGAGGAGGACAAAAGGUGUGAAGAAGAAGGCGCUGAAUUUGGUGUAAGAGCUAAGAGACAGCACCUACUCUGGAGAGCUCCUAUAUCUGCAAUGCAAAGAAAGAUAUGAAGAACCGUAAGGAAUCAAAGCCAUACUGUACGGUGUUCAUUGCUCAUGAUUGAAGAUGACUCCAACAGUAUGUUACACUGAGCCAACAGCUUCAAGCAUCACCCUAACAUCAGUGAUGAGUCCGAGGUACCUUUUGGCAUCACAGAGCUAUAGAGGUGCGUGCUCCAUCUCCGUGACACAUGAGAGAGUGAUACCACAUCACACAGACUUGCCUCACACCCCAAAAUUGCUAGGAGAGUUUUGGCACACGGAAGUUAUUUGCGGAUAGCCUACCUAGUCCUGUGGCCAAAUGCCGAGACACGAGCAAAAGCUUGGAAAGGGUAAGUCUGACCUAUGUAAAUCCUGCUCCAAGACAGCUGACUGUCUCUGUUUGGUCCAGCAGGUCCAGGUGUGGUCCUGGACAGCUUGGGAUGGUGUUUGUGACUCCACGCAUCAUGCAUUUUAGAUUAUUUAAUUUAACAUUGCUUCGGAAACCCUUUUAAAAGCAGUGGACCUCUAGCCUUCAAUUCGUUCCAGAUAACGUUUUUGAUUUCUGUUCUUUUUUUUCCCAGCUCUUCUUGUCCUCAAGGUUGCAGGCAACUUGCUUUGUGAGUAAAAAGAUCUGUUAUUUCCUAAAUGAGAACCUACCCCUCUGCAUUAUGUAGGAGUAAUGUAGGAUGUAAGAAGUGGUGACCCUUUAUAAUGGAUUUUUUUCCAUUUGCUUCACUGAGUCUUCAAGGACUACAUUUUGAUUCUUCCUUCGUGUUUUUACCUCAGAGGUUGGCAUGUUAGGGUUAUGAAACUAGAAAAGCUCUAGUCAGAUCAAAAGAGGUGGCAAAUAAGUGCAUUAAGUGCAUAAAAUCUUCCCCUUCAACAAAUAUGUUUUAUAUGAGCACAGCAUCAGUGCAUUACACCACAAAAUCAAUGCAAUUUACACAACAUUACGCAGGUUCUCUCCACCCUUUUACCUCUCCCCUCAUAGCAUAAAAUAAAAUAAAAUGAUCCUUUGUGCAUUUCUCAAUAAAUGCACUUCUGAUAUCCUUCUUAUCAAAUCAGUCUGACACUCUUCCCUUUCAAGCCUGACAUGCCAUUAAAUUGAUGUGUAAAGAUUUUUAAAAGCCCCACAAACCAUCUUAAUUUAUACAUUUCUUAAUGGUAUAAGGUAUAAAUGGCUUUUAAAAAUUUGAGGUGGUCUAAUCAUGUGUUUUAAAAUCCAUGUCUUGAAGGGAUGAAGAAUGCAGCUUAUUUUAAUCUGUCAUAGUGACUGCCUCACUCAUUAGUUGCUAUGCCUCUUCUUAGAAAUGUGUAUCCACUGUAACCAUGAAAAUUCAACAUUCAUCCUCCUGCUUGAGGACAUGUUUAUUUUGAAACAAGAACUAUACUGUGGUUCCUUUAUGCAAUAUUUACAUGGAAGCAUUUAUUGCUAUUGUGAAAUUUGCAGCCCAUGUAAUGAUGCCCACUGUUACACCUGCAAUUUGUGCAUUUCUUGAUUUGUUUCUAGGAAUGCCUACUUUGCAUACUUGUGCAUUCAAAAAAUUACUUUUAGUAUUCCCUAAACAAAUCCAAUGUUAAUGAGCAUAAUAAAUCAGUUUUAAAAAUCCAUAUAUUUGCUUUUGUGGGAAGAGAAUAGAAGUCAGGAAACUUAAUCGUCAACUCACCUUUGCUGCUCUUUCUAAUCGAAGCCACGGUCUGAAAAGACAAGGUGGCUUUGGACUGCAUUUGAAAGCUUUUGAGCUUGUGUCCUGUCUGGUAAAGUGCUGGAAAUGUCAGAAAUCAGGAUUUCCAGUGGAUACUGUUGGACCAUAUCACUGUCGCACUGACUUAAGAACAAGUAGCUAUAGUACAGUGGCAGAAUGAGGGAUACAAGAAACUCUUGGUUGGGCUGGAUGUACCACUCCUCUUGGUGUAAGGGAAAACAUCAGAGUCUGCCCACAAA